AUACUUAUCUGGCAGGAGAGAACUCAUGAUCACGAAGGUGGUUUUCUCAAGGGGAGGCUUGUCUGUUGCCCUCUGAUUGUGCUGACCCCUGCUAUUUCCUCAAAUGUGGGGAACUCAACUGCAUGAUUUGUGAUGGGGGGGCACUGUGUUCGUGCUUUCCCCGA